CGGAGGGUGCAAGCGUUAUCCGGAUUCACUGGGUUUAAAGGGAGCGCAGGCGGACUGGUAAGUCAGUGGUGAAAUACCUGAGCUUAACUCGGGAACUGCCAUUGAUACUAUCAGUCUUGAAUGUUGUUGAGGUUUGCGGAAUGGGUCAUGUAGCGGUGAAAUGCAUAGAUAUGACCCGGAACACCUAUUGCGAAGGCAGCAGGCUAAACAAAUAUUGACGCUGAGGCUCGAAAGCGUGGGGAUCAAACAGGAUUAGAUACCCUGGUAGUCCACGCCCUAAACGAUGACUACUCGACAUACGCGAUACACUGUGUGUGUCUGAGCGAAAGCAUUAAGUAAUCCACCUGGGAAGUACGACCGCAAGGUUG
rnacentral:rRNA from 1 species